rnacentral:rRNA from 1 species
UACACUCCUACGGGAGGCAGCAGUGGGGAAUAUUGCACAAUGGGCGCAAGCCUGAUGCAGCCAUGCCGCGUGUAUGAAGAAGGCCUUCGGGUUGUAAAGUACUUUCAGCGGGGAGGAAGGCGAUAAGGUUAAUAACCUUGUUGAUUGACGUUACCCGCAGAAGAAGCACCGGCUAACUCCGUGCCAGCAGCCGCGGUAAUACGGAGGGUGCAAGCGUUAAUCGGAAUUACUGGGCGUAAAGCGCACGCAGGCGGUCUGUCAAGUCGGAUGUGAAAUCCCCGGGCUCAACCUGGGAACUGCAUUCGAAACUGGCAGGCUAGAGUCUUGUAGAGGGGGGUAGAAUUCCAGGUGUAGCGGUGAAAUGCGUAGAGAUCUGGAGGAAUACCGGUGGCGAAGGCGGCCCCCUGGACAAAGACUGACGCUCAGGUGCGAAAGCGUGGGGAGCAAACAGGAUUAGAAACCCCAGUAGUCCCAU